rnacentral:lncRNA from 1 species
GUUGCAAAGAAGAGAGGAAGGGGAAGCCACGUGAUCUGGGGCACAGCAGGUGGCAGGGGCCUCCUGAGAGCCACCCCACUCUGGGGUCCUGUAGGAGCAGCCCUCAGCCGAUGGCUGGACUCCCGAGCCACUGCUCUCAGGUGGGGCGCUGAGGGGCUGUGCCCCUGGGAAUGGCUGCAGGGUGAGGUCCCAGCUGGGGACAGGGCGUCCCGGUGCUCCAUCACUGACGUCUCCUCCUGCCUGCCUCAGUUCCCCAAGCCUCCGACCUCAGUCCCUGCUCAGGUAACAGCGUGAGUCCACAGACGGGGUGACGACAGGGCGACCAGACAUAGCUGGGCUCUCAGUUCUGGCCCAAGGUCAAGGGCUGCCUCUGGGGGUGGCCCUUCUGCUGAGAGCCCUCGGGUGGCACGAGGCGUCACAUGUGGAGAGCGGGGUGUGCACACGUGGCCUGUGUGUCCUGGUCUCCCUUCCUCUCCCUAUACAGCCCCACCGUUCUCCAGGGGACCCACCUGAGGAUCUCGCCUUGUCACCACCUCCUGAAGGCCUCAGCUCUACGCCCAUGUCAGAUCACAUGCCCCCCUCUUAGUACUCCCGGGGAGUAAGUUCCAACAUGAGAUUUCGAGGGGAGAAGCUAUAUUCCCAGAAUCUACCCUAUCAGUUUCCUGGGGCAUGACAGUGGCUUUGAAAGCAAAAGUUUAUUGUCCCAGAGUUCUGGAGCCUGGAAGUUCAAACUCGAGGUGCUGGCCGUGCCAGCCUCCUGACUCAAAAGCCUCCCCCAGCUCCUGGAGGGGUGCUGGGGCUCCCUGGCUUGCCUGCCUUCUCAUGUGGGGGCUCCCCUGGGUGUCUCCCUGUGCAAGUAAGCGUCCCCAUUUCAUAAGGACGCCACCAUGUUGGGUCAGGGCCCAUCCUGACGACCUCUUCUGCAGACUCCUACUUCCAAACUUGUUUCCUGGGAUCUCUCCCAAAGAACUCUGUCCUCUAACCUUUGCCUCUGGGUCUGCUUCUAGAGGAACUGAAACUUGGAUACCCUUUGAAUGAUGCCCCCUCAGGGUGCAGAGACACUGAAACUUUCCUAGCACCACAUACAAGCCCCUUGCAGAAAUCCCGAUCUGAGUCAACGCUUUAAUUUCUCACUUCAAUGCAAGAAUAUGCUUCCUGACUUCUUUGAAGGCUCUGGCAAGGGCACUUCUAGGUGGCCUGGUUUCUUUGCGAGAGUGCUGAUGGUGUCACCAGGACAGGGCCCGAUGGGGAAGAGGAGAGGAGAGCUAGCAAGCAGCAG